CAUUAGUCUCCUAAUUAGAGGCUGGAAUGAACGGCGAAACGAGGUAGAAACUGUCUCUAAAAUAAAAAAAUCGAAUUUCAUUUUUAAGUGAAAAAGCUUAAAUUAUUCUAAAGGACGAUCAGACCCUAUAGAGCUUUAAUUAGUUAUUAAGAGAAACUAAUAAGUAAUAUUUCAAUUAAUAGCCUAUUUUUGUUGGGGCGACAAAGAGAUUUAAGUAACACUCUUUUCUUAGAAAUAUACAUAAAUAAACUAUUGAUCCUUAAAGAAAGAUUCAAGACUAAGUUACCUUAGGGAUAACAGCGUAAUCUUUUUAGAGAGUUCAAAUCGAUAAAAAGGGUUGC
rnacentral:rRNA from 1 species